GAUUUCUGGACAUCAGUUUUUAGCCGGCCACGGUUUCGUGUGUUAGUGCUUAAAACUUUGUCCAUCCUUCCAAUUGCUGUUUAUUGAUCUUCAUUGAUUGAUAUAAUAGUAUUGGAUCUUUUACUUUGAAAAAAUUAGAGUGUUUAAAGCAGGCUUUAUGCUAUGAAUACAUUAGCAUGGAAUAAUAAUUUAGGACUUCGGUUCUAUUUUGUUGGUUUCUAGGACUGAAGUAAUGAUUGAUAGGGAUAGUUGGGGGUGCUAGUAUUCAGCGGCCAGAGGUGAAAUUCUCGGAUUCGCUGAAGACUAACUUAUGCGAAAGCAUU
rnacentral:rRNA from 1 species